AUCCAGCUGACAAGUUCCAAAUAGGACGAAGUGCGCAUCCUGGCUGGAU
rfam:Trichobilharzia regenti genome assembly, scaffold: TRE_scaffold0071110